rnacentral:rRNA from 1 species
AUACGGAGGAUCCGAGCGUUAUCCGGAUUUAUUGGGUUUAAAGGGUGCGCAGGCGGCCAUUUAAGUCAGCGGUUAAAUCGUGGGGCUCAACCCCAUUCUGCCGUUGAUACUGGGUGGCUUGAUUGCGGUCGAGGUUGGCGGAAUUCGUUGUGUAGCGGUGAAAUGCAUAGAUAUGACGAAGAACACCGAUUGCGUAGGCAGCUGACCAGACCGCAAAUGACGCUCAUGCACGAAAGUGCGGGGAUCGAACAGGAUUAGAUACCCUGGUAGUCCGCACAGUAAACGAUGAAUACUUGUUUUCGGCGAUAUAAUGUCGGAGGCAAAGCGAAAGCGAUAAGUAUUCCACCUGGGGAGUACGCCG